UACAGAGGUCCCAAGCGUUGUUCGGAUUCAUUGGGCGUAAAGGGUGCGUAGGCGGUUGCCUAAGUCAGGUGUGAAAUCUCGAGGCUCAACCUCGAAACUGCACUUGAUACUGGGUAACUUGAGUACUGGAGGGGAGACUGGAAUUUACGGUGUAGCAGUGAAAUGCGUAGAUAUCGUAAGGAAGACCAGUGGCGAAGGCGAGUCUCUGGACAGUUACUGACGCUGAGGCACGAAGGCUAGGGGAGCAAACGGG
rnacentral:rRNA from 1 species